AAGACUUAUUGCAUUAGAACAAAUUGUUCCAUCCGAUCCCAUUUCGAACUCGAUGUAUGCCAAAGGUUUGUUCGUUUUAUUUAAUUUUAGUAAAAUUUGUAAGUCUU
rnacentral:rRNA from 1 species